rnacentral:rRNA from 1 species
GACGAACGCUGGCGGCGUGCUUAACACAUGCAAGUCGAACGGAAAGGCCCUGCUUUUGUGGGGUGCUCGAGUGGCGAACGGGUGAGUAACACGUGAGUAACCUGCCCUUGACUUUGGGAUAACUUCAGGAAAUUGGGGCUAAUACCGGAUAGGAGCUCCUGCUGCAUGGUGGGGGUUGGAAAGUUUCGGCGGUUGGGGACGGACUCGCGGCUUAUCAGCUUGUUGGUGGGGUAGUGGCUUACCAAGGCUUUGACGGGUAGCCGGCCUGAGAGGGUGACCGGCCACAUUGGGACUGAGAUACGGCCCAGACUCCUACGGGAGGCAGCAGUGGGGAAUAUUGCACAAUGGGCGGAAGCCUGAUGCAGCAACGCCGCGUGCGGGAUGACGGCCUUCGGGUUGUAAACCGCUUUCGCCUGUGACGAAGCGUGAGUGACGGUAAUGGGUAAAGAAGCACCGGCUAACUACGUG